GACGAACGCUGGCGGCGUGCUUAACACAUGCAAGUCGAACGGUAAGGCCCUUCGGGGUACACGAGUGGCGAACGGGUGAGUAACACGUGGGUGAUCUGCCCUGCACUUCGGGAUAAGCCUGGGAAACUGGGUCUAAUACCGGAUAGGACUCCUGGCUUCAUGGUUGGGGGUGGAAAGCUUUUGCGGUGUGGGAUGGGACCGCGGCCUAUCGGCUUGUUGGUGGGGUAAUGGCCUACCAAGGCGACGACGGGUAGCCGGCCUGAGAGGGUGACCGGUCACACUGGGACUGGAGUACGGCCUAGACUCCUUGAGGAGGCAGCCGUGGAGAAUAUUGCACAAUCGCCGCAAGCCUGAUGCAGGGACGUCCGGUGAGGGAUGACGGCCUUCGCGUUGUACACCGCUUUCUGCUAUAACGAAGCGCAAGUGACGGUAGUAGCAGAAGAAGGACCGGCGAACUACGUGGCAGCCGCCGCCGUAAAAC
rnacentral:rRNA from 1 species